UUAAAACUCAUUUAUUUUGUAGUGCUAUGAAAACGCCUUCCUAAGGAUUUCAUAACACCUUUACUCAGGAUUGCAGCUUCUCCUGGAGCUGGGUCAAGGUUUGCAUCUGAAUACAUACACUGAUAACCCUGUGAGUUAAACAAGACUACAGAUCCUGCCAGAUCACUCUAAUUGAGACUGUGGUAUGAAAAGCACCAAACACUUAAGGCAAGAAGCUUUUUCAAAUAAUUCUGUUCUGGCUUGAAAUGCAGAACCUGAUCCUGAGCCUGCUAAGUCCUUGGAAAGAACUCUGCUGUCCAUGUUGUCCCCAGCUUGGUUGGUUGUCCAUGCAUGACUAAGUGAUUCAGCAAUGAAAAAGAGAUCAAAGUAAGUUUUAAAAAACUUAAGUAAAAAAAAAAUGUAUAGAAAUAUGUAUUUAAUAAUAAUAAUCCUAAAUGACAAAUGACUAUCAAUGUCUAUCAGGAAUGAUCUUUCUCUCCAACUAAUAAGAAAAAUAGUUUCAUAUGAGUAUGGCAAAAUUUAAUAAAAUUUC
rnacentral:lncRNA from 1 species